CUAAGGCUCCAGGGGAAGCCACGGCUAACUCUGUGCCAGCAGCCGCGGUAAUACAGAGGCGGCAAGCGUUGUUCGGAAUUAUUGGGCGUAAAGAGCACGUAGGCGGCCUUGCAAGUCAGUUGUGAAAGCCUUCCGCUUAACGGAAGAAUGCCAGCUGAUACUACAGGGCUUGAGUACGGGAGGGGAGAGUGGAACUUCUGGUGGAGCGGUGAAAUGCGUAGAUAUCAGAAGGAACGCCGGCGGCGAAAGCGACUCUCUGGCCCGAAACUGACGCUGAGUGUGCGAAAGCUAGGGGAGCAAACGGGAUUAGAUACCCCGGUAGUCCUAGCCGUAAA
rnacentral:rRNA from 1 species